GACGAACGCUGGCGGCGUGCUUAACACAUGCAAGUCGAACGGAAAGGCCCUGCUUUUGUGGGGUGCUCGAUUGGCGAACGGGUAAGUAACACGUGAGCUACCUGCCCUUGUCUUUGGGAUAACUUCAGGUAACUGGAGUUACUACCAGAUAGGAGCUCCUCCUGGAUGGUGGGGGUUGGAUCGUUUGGGCGUUCGGGGAUGGACUCGCGGCUUACCGGCUUGUUGGUGGGGUAGUGGCUUACCAAGCCUUGGACGGGUAGCCGGCCUGGGGGGUUGACCGGCCACAUUGGGACUGAGAUACGGCCCAGCCUCCAACGGGAGGAAGCAGGGGGGAAUAUUGCACAAGGGGCGGAGGCUGGAUGAAGAAACGCCGCGGGCGGGAUACCGGCCUUCGGGUGGAAAACCGCUUUCGCAUGUGACGAAGCGUGAGUGACGGUAAUUGGUAAAGAAGCACCGGCUAACUACGUG
rnacentral:rRNA from 1 species